CAGCAGCCGCGGUAAUACGUAGGUGGCAAGCGUUGUCCGGAAUUAUUGGGCGUAAAGGGCUCGCAGGCGGUUUCUUAAGUCUGAUGUGAAAGCCCACGGCUCAACCGUGGAGGGUCAUUGGAAACUGGGAGACUUGAGUGCAGAAGGGGAGAGCGGAAUUCCAUGUGUAGCGGUGAAAUGCGUAGAUAUAUGGAGGAACACCAGUGGCGAAGGCGGCUCUCUGGUCUGUAACUGACGCUGAGGCUCGAAAGCGUGGGGAGCAAACAGGAUUAGAUACCCCAGUAGUCCCUGUCUCUUAUAC
rnacentral:rRNA from 1 species